rnacentral:lncRNA from 1 species
NUUAGGGUUAGGCUUAGGGUGAGGGUUAGGGUUACAGUUAGGGUUAGGGUUAGGGUGAGUGUUAGGGUGAGGGUUAGGGUUAGGGUUAGGGUUAGGGUUAGGGUUAGGUUUAGGAUUAUGGUUAUGGUUAGGGUUAGAGUUAGGGAUUGGGUUAGGGUGAGGGUUAGAGUUAGGUUAGGGUUAGGGUGAGGGUAAGGGUGAGGGUUAGGAUAAUCUUAAGAGAGACAACUUUGUUUUCUAAACCUUAACUCAUUCAAAUUCGACGGUGUGUUUUUCUGAAUAGAGGAGUAUGCUUAGUGAUCAAAGCUAAGAGUAACCCAUUCCCGAUAUAUAGAGUCUGGCCAUCACAAGUUCAAAAAUAAUGGGUUGGGCUUUACCUUCAAACAAUAUAAUAACUGCUCCAUAAUCUCUUUUUAGUUUAAAAAAGGAUAAAGAUAAUGACUUAAUGGACGAAUUUAUGUUCCUUA